CAUUUGAGCAUAAACCUAUAUAACACACCUUGACUUGUCUGAUUGUAAUUUCGUGUCACUUGCUCAAUGUAGGCAGUUAGAGGUUGGUGUAAGAUAUAGGGCAAUAACAUAUAGGCACUAACCUUACCUUACGAAGACUUGACUGUAGCUACAAAGAAGAUCAUUGCGAAGCCUCUGCUGACUUUGGGAAAUUUUAAAGAAGAGCAACACCUAACGUAAAGAGCACACAUUUUUGUAUUCACCAUCACUAUGGCACACUGCAUAACAAUAAGCCAAGAGGAGUUCAGCACUGAGAAGGAGAUGGAGCAACAAAAUAAUACUGUUGCAUAUGGAGUUGUCAAGGGAACAACAACGUUUCUAUGGCAACGGAAGAUGAAAACCUAUUUUGAUGCUGUUGUCAUUGGACAUCCUGGGAAGUACAUUACAAGAUCGCACUAUGAAGAAAUAAUCUACAGAAUCAAAACAAGAUAUAAGGGACUUUCGAAACGAGCAAUUGAAAUAAUCAAUCGCGUCUUCUUGCAAAUUCUAUGGGGAGAGCUUGUCACAAGAGGGGGUGAUGUAGGAAAAAAUCGAAAAGUGUCAUUGACUGAGUUCACCCGUAAUGCUGCAGAAAAUUUAAAACCAGAGAAUAUCGGAACAUUUAUAGAGGUUUUGGAUUAUAUAUCUGCGUCUCUUUUCUGGUUCAUUGAUGUCGACAAAGAUAAAGAUAUAUCACUUGAUGAGUUUAACGAGUUUUUCAUAUUGUUCGGAAUCCCCCACCAAUUCUCCCAGAAUGCAUUUGAAUCUAUAGAUGCAGACGACAGCGGAGAAAUCAACAAAGAAGAGUUCAUGGAUUCAUUUCGCGACUUCUGGAUUGGCCAAAAACCCGGAUGUGGGACAUUCUUUUUGGGCAGAUUGGUAUGACCCGUCCAUUUUCCAAAAUAUUUUCCUACUAGAAUGUGACCACUCAUGGAACUUGUCUGUGAAUACUAAGUGUAGAAAACAUCUCAAAACGCCUCUCAAAACGCCUCUCAACAUCCUUCAAGAUAGGUCCUUCACUGCUUUCAUAGCAGAUCAUGUAAUGCAAUCAAUUACUCUUGGGCCAAGGAUGCCUCUAAAUUAUGGCGAACAUUUUAUUUGGUAUGAUGGUUGAUUAAAGAUGUAAUGCAAACUUUUGUUAUUCUGUAGGAUAUCUUGCAUUUCUCCUGUAUCUGUGAUGCUUUAGUCACGUCGUGAUUUUAAGUAACAUAGGCUAAUCACAUGCCUAAAUUUUGCAGCAUCUGACACACAUUAUUCAAAUACUGACUGUUAUAUUGGCAAUAACACCAAACGAAA
rnacentral:misc_RNA from 1 species